GAUGAACGCUAGCGGCAGGCUUAAUACAUGCAAGUCAAACGGGAUUAUUAGCAAUAAUAGUUCAGUGGCGCACGGGUGAGUAACGCGUACACAACCUACCUUACAGAGGGGGGUAGCAUCUGGAAACGGGUGGUAAUACCGCAUAGUUUUUCCGGCAGGCAUCUGUUGGAUAAUAAAGUUAAGGCGCUGUAAGAUGGGUGUGCGUCUGAUUAGGUAGUUGGUAGGGUAACGGCCUACCAAGCCGACGAUCAGUAGGGGGUGUGAGAGCAUGGCCCCCCANACGGGUACUGAGACACGGACCCGACUCCUACGGGAGGCAGCAGUAAGGAAUAUUGGUCAAUGGACGGAAGUCUGAACCAGCCAUGCCGCGUGGAGGAAGACUGCCCUAUGGGUUGUAAACUCCUUUUACCA
rnacentral:rRNA from 1 species